GAAUUGCAUUUUUCUCCACAACUAGAAAACAAUUAGGGGUAUCAAAAUGGGUCGAGAUUCAUGGGUCAACUCAACUCAACUCAACCCAUGAACCUUAAUGAAUUGAAAAUUUUGACUCAAAUGAAUUGAUAGAUCAAAUGAGUUAUUGGGUCAAUUGGUUUGAUGAAUAUAUUUACAUUUUGGAUAGUAUUUGUUGGGGGUUUACAAAAAAA
rnacentral:sRNA from 1 species